GAGAAGAUGAUUUAAUUAAAAAUGCAAGGUGCAUGAGUUUAAAGAGAUUCAACCCUAAGGCAAAGGUUCAUGCAAGCCGGAGCACCAUCACCUGGAAACAAAGAUCUCAUAUUGGGUGCUUUUUGAUGUUCAGGGGAAUAUGAGAUUUUCAAAUUCUUAGGUAUUUAUUCAUUCAGCCACUUAUUUAAAAACAUAUUAUGAGUGCUUACCACUGUGUCAUGCCCUGAAGGUAACAGGGCAGUGAGGAAAAGCUACAGUCCCUGUCCGCGAGGAGCUCGUAGGGCGAGUGUGGGAGACCCACAGCGAGAUGGAAAAUGGCCAGCCUGAGAAGAGUUAGGGAUGAGUGGUGCUUGGCGGUGCUGUGAGAACAUGUCAUAGGAGAUGUGGCCGAGGUGAGUGUGUCAGGGUAGCAUGACUGAGGAAGUGAGGGAGAUGAGAGCUGAAAGAUGGGUAAGGGUUAAACAGGAAGGAAGAUGUUGGCUAAGGUCCAGCAAGAUUAGAGGACCACAGUCCUGAGGGCAGGUGUGACCGCAGAACAGGGUGCUCAGCAGUCUAGCAGGAGGGUGAAGGCCCCAAGGUUCACCUUGCUAAAGGCCAUUUUGCUCAUCCUCAGAGCAGUGGGAAGCUGGCCAAGGGAACAAGAGUGGGGCUCAUGAGGACUUUAUGAUUUGGAAGACUAUUCUAGCUGUGAUGUGUAGAGUGGGCAGAGGCGGGGUUGCAGAGGGGGCCAGAGGCAAAUCAGGAGUUAUCUUAGCUUCCCAUUGAUUCUAUAAUAAAUUACUACAAACUUACUGGCUCAAAAGAAUGCAAAUUUAUUAUCUUCCAGCUCUGGGGGUCUGAAGUUCAAAACGGGUGUCAGAACCUUGUAAAGUCAAGGUUCUGGGUAGAGCUGCACUCUUUCUGGAGAUCCCAGGAGGGCACGCCAUUCCUCACCUUUCCCAGCAUCUAGAGGCUGCCCUCAUUCCCUGGUCCAUGGCCUCACUGCUCUGAACUCUGCUUCCACCAUCACAUCUCUUCCUCCGACCCUGAUCCUUAUAAGGAUGCUUGUGAUUACAGUGGGCCCAUCCAGAUAAUCCAGGAAAAUCCCCUCCCUGUCUCACUACCAUAGCUUAAUCACAUCUACAAAGUCCCUUAGCCAUCUAACGUAAUAGAUUCAUCGGUUUUGAGGAUUAGGAUGUGAACCUCUUUGGACAAUAUUUUGCCUGUCACAGGUGAUUUUCUUUCUUUUCUUUUUUGUAAGGUGGUAUAUACUGAAGCAACAUUGCACACGUGCAUGUGCUGAUUUUAGGGGCUUCCCAGGUGAUAAAGAAUCCACCUGCCAAUGCAGGACACACAGGUUUUAUCCCAGGGUCAGGAAGAUCCCCUAGAGUAGAAAAUGGCAACUCACUCCAGUUUUUUUUGCCUGGAAAAUUCCAUGGACAGAGGUGCCUGGCAUGUGGGCCACAGAGUCUGACAUGACUGAGCAACUGAGCACAGCAACAUGCUGACUUUAGUUUAACAUCGUUGUUAUGCUUGUGUUGGGGGAGUAGGCAGUGUGGACUGGCACUCUUUAUUUUUAUUCUAUUUCUUAAUUUUUAUUG
ensembl:lncRNA